rnacentral:lncRNA from 1 species
UUUUUGAGAAACUUAUAAGUUUUCAUCGUGUCAAACCUUGCAAGUGGAUUUAUGAAUCCGACACAUGAAAUAAGUUAAGUAGUGCUCUAAAGGAAAUUAAUCAUUAAGUUAAAUUCGUCAGUAAUUUAAUUUAUUGAUUAGUAUCUGAAAUCUUAACAUGGGGAAUUACAUAAGUGUUUAAUGGGGAAUUACAAAAUAUAAAUAGAGGAGUGCAAUUACGAAUUUCUAGUGGAAUGAUUUGUAAUUUAUUAUGGUAAGAAUAAUUCAAAUUAAUUAUUUGGAAUUAUUUCCAUAAUAGGAAGUCUCAGUAAUUAAUUCUGUGGUCCCUCCAGUGCCCAUAUUUAACUAGAACUCAGAAUCCUAAUUCUAAAGGGAAAAGGGGAGAGGCGUUAGUUUUCUUAUAAAAAGAAAACUAGCGUGUAUUUUUCAGUUGAAGAAAAAUAACGUGUGUUUGGUUCUCC